rnacentral:rRNA from 1 species
GAUGAACGCUGGCAGCGUGCUUAACACAUGCAAGUCGAACGGAAAGGCUCCUGCUUGCAGGGGUACUCGAGUGGCGAACGGGUGAGUAACACGUGGGUGAUCUGCCCUGCACUUCGGGAUAAGCCUGGGAAACUGGGUCUAAUACCGGAUAGGACGAUGGUUUGGAUGCCAUUGUGGAAAGUUUUUCGGUGUGGGAUGAGCUCGCGGCCUAUCAGCUUGUUGGUGGGGUAAUGGCCUACCAAGGCGUCGACGGGUAGCCGGCCUGAGAGGGGGUACGGCCACAUUGGGACUGAGAUACGGCCCAGACUCCUACGGGAGGCAGCAGUGGGGAAUAUUGCACAAUGGGCGCAAGCCUGAUGCAGCGACGCCGCGUGGGGGAUGACGGCCUUCGGGUUGUAAACUACUUUCGCUAGGGACGAAGCGCAAGUGACGGUACCUGGAGAAGAAGCACCGGCUAACUACGUG